GUGUCAGCAGCCGCGGUAAAACGUAGGAGGCGAGCGUUAUCCGGAUUUACUGGGUGUAAAGCGCGAGCAGGCGGUCCAUCAAGUGGUGUGUGAAAGCUCUCGGCUCAACCGGGGGAGGCCAUGCCAAACUGAAGGACUGGAGGUAGGUAGAGGCAGACGGAAUUCCGGGUGUAGUGGUGAAAUGCGUAGAGAUCCGGAGGAACACCAGUGGCGAAGGCGGUCUGCUGGGCCUGACCUGACGCUCAGACGCGAAAGCAUGGGGAGCGAACGGGAUUAGAUACCCCCGUAGUCC
rnacentral:rRNA from 1 species